GAUGAACGCUGGCGGCGUGCUUAACACAUGCAAGUCGAACGGAAAGGCCUCUGCUUGCAGGGGUACUCGAGUGGCGAACGGGUGAGUAACACGUGGGUGAUCUGCCCUGCACUUCGGGAUAAGCCUGGGAAACUGGGUCUAAUACCGGAUAGGACAAUGGUUUGGAUGCUGUUGUGGAAAGUUUUUCGGUGUGGGAUGAGCUCGCGGCCUAUCAGCUUGUUGGUGGGGUAAUGGCCUACCAAGGCGUCGACGGGUAGCCGGCCUGAGAGGGUGUACGGCGACAUUGGGAGUGAGAUACGGGCCAGACACCUACGGGGGGGAGCAAUGGGGAAUAUUGCACAAUGGGGGCAAGCCGGAUGCAGCGACGCGGCGUGGGGGAUGACGGCCUUCGGGUGGUAAACUCCUUUCGCUAGGGACGAAGCGUUUUUGUGACGGUACCUGGAGAAGAAGCACCGGCUAACUACGUG
rnacentral:rRNA from 1 species